AACAGAGUAAUAAGAGUUUCUCAGCCCAGAGGCGCAACAUCGCGAGACUUCCGGGAACACUUGCAAAACAGACCAGGCCUGGGUUUGAGACUACAAUGGGAUACGUACAUUUUUUCCCCCUUACGCUUCGAACACUCCGACUCACCCGGAUGGACACCAACUACCGGGAGUCCAUCAGCCCAGUUGAACGCCUGGCCUUUUGUCUCCGAUUCUUGACGACAGGGGACUCCUACAGGACCAUAGGAUUCAGCUUCCGAGUUGGACGGUCCACGGUGGCAGGCAUUGUCCCCUCUGUGGCACAAGCCAUUUGGGACUGUCUGGUUGGUGAAAACAUGCCUGUCCCCAAGGAGGAAGACUGGAGGGCCAUCGCUGCCGAGUUCCUGGAGGUGGAAUUUCCCCAACUGUCUUGGCUCCAUUGACGGGAAACAUGUAGUAAUCCAGGCUCCACCGUGCUCAGGUUCGCAGUUCUACAACUACAAGGGUACAUAUUCAGUUGUACUCUUGGCUGUAGUAGAUGCCAUCUACUGUUUCCGUGUUGUCGAUGUUGGUGCUUACGGCAAGUGAAGUGAUGUCGUGACCCUCCGAGACUGCCUUUGGCCAGGCACUUCAGGAUGGCACCCUGGAUAUUCCACUACCUGCAUCACUCCCUGGGGCUGAAGACCUGGGACCUGUUCACCACGUCUUCGUCGGUGAUGAGGCCUUCCCUUUAAGACCCAACCUCAUGAGGCCCUACGCUGGACGCCAGCUGCCAUUGCCAAAGCCCGUAAGGAUCUUUAACAAACGACUGUCCAGGGCAAGGUUAGUUGUUGAAUGCGCCUUUGGGAUUCUGGCAGCCCGAUGGAGAAUGUAUUGGAGAGUGCUUGGUCUCAGCCCCUCAAAUGUUGAUGCCUGCGUGAAGGCCACAUGUGUUCUCCACAACUACCUGCGGAGGUCAUUCCAGGAGCCGCUCCGGAUGGAGAUGGGCACGCCAAAUGGUCACCUUCCUGAUGUUACCAGGGCAGGUGCCAACAACGCCCCCAGACAGGCACUGACAUUAACGUCAGUAUUAUACACACCUGGCAUGGUACGUCAGGUGAGCGGGAGCACUAAUUAAGGUUAUACGACAUACAGUUAGUAUGAUAACAAAGGGAAAGGGUAACCUAGGGUCCAUACAAAUAGUACAGUUUACCACCAUGUUCACUGGCCUGACAAAAUACAGGUGGAAAAAAAACUAAUUAGGAAGAGAAUGUGUGUUUUUACUUUCAUCUUGUCUUAGAUCAGCAAAGGUGUAGGGAAGAAAUAAGCAGAUUAAGUCUAAAUUAGAUAUUAAUAAACAACUGACUAUGAAAACAUUAUAAUUUAAUAAGUAUUCAAGUACAGGAAAGAACAUGACAGGUAUGUGUGUUGUAAAAAUGUUUUAAAAAAUAAAACUAUUGAAAUAGG